rnacentral:rRNA from 1 species
GACGAACGCUGGCGGCGUGCUUAACACAUGCAAGUCGAACGGAAAGGCCCUGCUUUUGUGGGGUGCUCGAGUGGCGAACGGGUGAGUAACACGUGAGUAACCUGCCCUUGACUUUGGGAUAACUUCAGGAAACUGGGGCUAAUACCGGAUAGGAGCUCCUGCUGCAUGGUGGGGGUUGGAAAGUUUCGGCGGUUGGGGAUGGACUCGCGGCUUAUCAGCUUGUUGGUGGGGUAGUGGCUUACCAAGGCUUUGACGGGUAGCCGGCCUGAGAGGGUGACCGGCCACAUUGGGACUGGGGUACGGCCCAGACUCCUACGGGAGGCAGCAGUGGGGAAUAUUGCACAAUGGGCGGAAGCCUGAUGCAGCAACGCCGCGUGCGGGAUGACGGCCUUCGGGUUGUAAACCGCUUUCGCCUGGGACGAAGCGUGAGUGACGGUAAUGGGUAAAGAAGCACCGGCUAACUACGUG